rnacentral:sRNA from 1 species
GAUAGAUAGAUAGAUAGAUAGAUAGAUAGAUAGAUAGAUAGAUGAGAAAGACAGGGGUUAUUUUUGUACGGGGUCAUCUUAUGCAUCCUGUGUUGGGAUUUUACCCGCCUUAUUCCCCCAUACUCUUUUAUCAUACAGCAGGAGAAACAUUCAGUGUUGUUAAAUUAUUGGACUGAUUUCAUUGAAAAUACAACUUUUAGUGGUGUUUUUGUGGUGUCUGUUUGUUAGUGAGCGUAUAUUUAUUUAAGGUUAAUCUUUUUCGAUCUCAACAUGAUAUUUACAAAUAUACGUGUGAUGAACUUUGAUUUUGACACUGAACUAUAUCCAUCAAAUAUUAUGACAAUUCAUAUUAAAUUAUAUUUAGCAAGCAUUGAAAACAAGGAAAUUAAAUAAAAGAUAUUUUAAGUACUUC